UAUGUGAGGUUGGGAAAUUUUUGGUUGGUUUGAAUGUUGGGGCAUAUAUUUUGAGACAAAGCAUUUUGUGAACUGAGUAGAUGUUUCUACCCAGAAGAUGACUAUAGUUUUAACUUGUAAUUAAGGGGACCAUCCUAUGUUUUGAUAAAUAGGAUAUUUUGAAACUUUGAAAUAUGAUAGAAAUGGGGAAGGUCCCUUUU